AUAAACGUGAUAAUUAUCUUGUAUAAACAUGAUAAUUAUCUUGUAUAAACGUGAAAAUUAUCUUGUAAAAACAUGAUAACUUAUCCAGAUGGUGGCGCUAGUAUGCUUUUAGUCUGACUCAUUUAAGACGAAGAAGAAGCAUGUCCGUCAUCUACUCGUGAACUAAAAUGGCAAAUUUACGGGAAUGGAUACAGUUUUACUUUAUGCUCGCUGGUAUCACCUUAUUUUCAACGGAAAUAUGGAGACAGUGAGUGGCGGUUUUCCGCGCGAGACGUCCGAUACGUCACUUCCUGUUACUGGCGAGUCAGCUGGACAACGACUCGUGCAACUACGAAAUUACUCGUUAUGAUUUCAUGGAAGGCCGGGAUCGUUUGUCCGGUUAGAGGCUGUCAUGAUAACGGGUGUAAAAGAAAGGUUUACGUGGAGCAAGAGUGUUUUAAUCAUCGACCGCGUACAAGCGCUGUGGAUACCAGGUGCCCUACUUUCUUCACCCCCAGCCGAAGAAUGAGAUAUCCCUCCGCCUGUGGCUAAAAGUUGUAACUUUGAAGAAACCACCGAAACAAUGCUAUGUUUGUUCUUUUAAUUUUGUGGACAAAAGACCGAUAGGAGACCACACGAUGCCAGAAAACUGGUCGGGCUACGAAGUUCCAUUAAAAUCUCCGUGGAGACGUCAAGAGGACAGCAAACACAGAUGACAGCCACUGUGAUGCAGAGGCUGACCGGACCGCUCCGUAAUCAGUCACCUAUGAAGAAAGAUGCUGAUACUACAGGCACCGAAGGAUCACACCUAGGAGAAGAGAAGAACAGUGUAUGUGGCAGGGAAAACACUGACUUCUCGAGUGCCUUUGUCCUGGGGAUGAAGUGACGGCAGACAGAGGCUUUACCAUCUGAGAUCUGCUGUUUGAGAGGAGAUUUAACCUUGUUCUACCAGCAUUCACCCAUAAAAGGAGGGCAGUUGUCUGAUGAGGAUGUAACCGCAGCAAGGAAGAUUGCAAAUGUCCACAUACAUGUGGAAAGAGUUAUCAGGAGGCUCAGAGUUUUGACAAUAAUCCCCCAGACUGUAACUCUCAACUUGGUAAAUAAAAUGGACAAAAUCUUUUGUCCGUGCAGCCCCUUAGAACAUGCAGGAGAUCAUCCACGAGGAUGCUGAUUGAGCGGAGAAGUUUACAUGUCAAAAAGAUCCUGAUUAGUUAUAUUCUACUGUAAAUCAGUGCAAUUAUAAUACACUAGAAUGUGUUUUGGAUUUAUGCUUUUAAAUAUUUCUUUGUGUAGCACCUUGAGGUUUUACGUUUGGAAUUACUUUUAAUUUUUUUUAAACUUUUCAAGUAUUGUAUAUCCUUAGUUUUAGACCAUUUAAAUGUUUACAUAUACAUAAAUUGUGUCCAACUAAAUGUGUAUUAUUAAAGUUUCCAAUCUAUUUCA